rnacentral:sRNA from 1 species
CACACACAACAACAAUGGCGUCUGCAAGGCAUAGUGAGCACGAGGUCAAGAUCCAAAAAAUGGAUCAACUACCAAGAGAACAAAAGAUGUGCUAAUUUUAAGGAGAUGCUGUAGCUCUUCUCCUGGAUGGGGGUGUUUGGUGGCCAGGAGCAUGUUCCUUGACGGAAAAAAUGAUAGAAGAAGAAGACAUACAGGAAGAUGAAUAAGAGGAUACAUCACUUCGAGGAAAGAAAACCUCCUCAUCUACAUGAAUGAAAUGGACGGAGGCUGAACUGGAGGAGGUUAAGGAAUAUUUCAGAGAAUGUCUGAUCUCGAACACCACUUCAGGAAGAAUAACUUGCAAUAUGUGGAUAGAGGAAAGCAGAGCUAAUAUAAUAAGCUAUGGGAAACUCUAAAGAAGAAAGUGUGGAGUCUGCCCCCCCCCCCCCCC